CCACCAUCCACUUAAUUGCUCAUCUGAACGUAUUUCUGCAGACACUUAAGAGAAAUCUAGCAAUAGUGAUGCCAUAUGCUAGCCUUAGGGACAACUGAAGUCAUUAAGGUCCCUGAAAAUGGCUACAGUA